rnacentral:rRNA from 1 species
UUUUUAAUGGUUGACCUCGGAUCAGGUAGGAAUACCCGCUGAACUUAAGCAUAUCAAUAAGCGGAGGAAAAA